AUGAACGCUGGCGGCGUGCCUAAUCCAUUCAAGUCGAGCGAACAGACGAGGAGCUUGCUCCUCUGACGUUAGCGGCGGACGGGUGAGUAACACGUGGAUAACCUACCUAUAAGACUGGGAUAACUUCGGGAAACCGGAGCUAAUACCGGAUAAUAUAUUGAACCGCAUGGUUCAAUAGUGAAAGACGGUUUUGCUGUCACUUAUAGAUGGAUCCGCGCCGCAUUAGCUAGUUGGUAAGGUAACGGCUUACCAAGGCGACGAUGCGUAGCCGACCUGAGAGGGUGAUCGGCCACACUGGAACUGAGACACGGUCCAGACUCCUACGGGAGGCAGCAGUAGGGAAUCUUCCGCAAUGGGCGAAAGCCUGACGGAGCAACGCCGCGUGAGUGAUGAAGGUCUUCGGAUCGUAAAACUCUGUUAUUAGGGAAGAACAAAUGUGUAAGUAACUAUGCACGUCUUGACGGUACCUAAUCAGAAAGCCACGGCUAACUACGUG
rnacentral:rRNA from 1 species